CCCUUAGAUGUUCUGGGCCGCACGCGUGCUACACUGAACGGUUCAAUGGGUGAGGUAGGGCGAAAGCCUGACCCAAUCUCUAAAUCCGUUCGUGAUGGGGAUAGAAGCUUGCAAUUAUCCUUCUUGAACGAGGAAUACCUUGUAAGCGUGAGUCAUCAUCUCACGCUGAAUACGUCCCUGCCCUUUGUACACACCGCCCGUCGCUCCUACCGAUUGAGUGGUCCGGUGAGGCUUUGGGAGAGCCGGAUGGACUGUGUUUCACAGACUAUUUGGCUUGAACUUAGUCAAACCUUACUACUUAGAGGAAGGAGAAGUCGUAACA
rnacentral:rRNA from 1 species